GUGCUUCUCAGAAAGGGCAGCCAAUCCCAGAGGCCUCCACUAUUUUCCCCCCUUCAGAAUGAGGGGAGGUGAAAUUACCUGCCAGCUCCUCCACUGCUCAAUCCUGAGAGCUGGAGGGCGAGCCAAGGACGUGGUGCUGACUGUGCUGAUGCCCGAGAGCAAUUUCAGCACCCAGGAAACUCUUCUCUUGUCUUUGCAUCGGGAGUCUUCGGAUAGAAAUCAAAGAGCAAAAUUAAGUCACCCAAGCACUGGAGUGGUUCAGAGCCCAUUGCUGGCCAAUGCCUGGGCUGCACCUGGGCAGAUCCAAGGUGAGGCCUUAGCGGCCUGGAGCACCUUCUUUAUUAGGUAGAUCAGGCCAUGCCACAGCUGGGUCCCACUCUGCACAGCGCAUACUGCAUGAGGAGAGCAUCAGCUGCACCUGCAGCAUGGAUUUAUUGCUCACCAUCUCUGAGCCUACAACUCCAGAGGGAAAAAUGAUAGCGUGAAAGAAUAGCUGCUGGCAGCUUUUGCACCAGCCAGAAGGAGGCAUGAAUUAUCUCCAGCAGUUAUUGGCCACGCUUAUGAUGCAGAGGCUUCCCUCAAGGUGUGGUGGGACAUGGGCUUUUUACACAUUAAAUGUUAAAAGCAGAGUGGUGGUGCAGUGGCACGGGCUGCCCGGGGAGGUGGUGGGGUCACCAUCCCUGGAGGUGUUCAACUACGGAGAUGUGGCACCGAGGACUGCGGUCAAUGGGCAGUAUUGGUGGUAGGUGA
ensembl:lncRNA